rnacentral:tRNA from 1 species
AUAAUAAAAGCAAUAUUGCAUUUAGUUUCGACCUAAAAGAAGAAUACACAUAUGUUCUUAUUAUU